GCCUGGGGCGCGCACGCCCCAUCUGCUCAGCCCAAGCCCACUUUGCCUGCAUUCGCAAAGUUUGGGCGCGUGUAAGCUUUUCGUUGUUUUUUCCCUGGAUGGCACGCGAUAGUUUCUUUAAUACGUGUAAUGUGUGGCGCCUGUGCCUUGCUGCUGUUUCGCCUGGAAGAAAGGCAGUGAUGUGAAGAAGGACGCUUCAUUGCAGCGAUGAUAUGGCUGGUCGUGAAAAUGCUGUCAGGAAAAUGCAUUCAAAGAACAGGAAACAGAGCGUUGAUGUGACCAAGCACAGAUUCUUGUUCUGAAGGGGAUGUUAUUAUGGACAGCCAACUUCCGUUGCUUAUCAUGUGGUGAAGUGCAUAUUUCCCACUCAAAGUGCUGUACAGGUGCCAUGGGGGAUCAAGUGAAGUGACCCCCUGUUUUGAGUUUCUCCCCUGCCAAUAAUUUACUUGUAGCACAGAGAGAAAGACACGCUAUCUUUCGUACAAAAAGGUGCCUGCAAUAGUAUGACUCUCGCCUGCUACUCCACCCAUUCCUUUUACUUAUUGACAAAGUGCAACUCAUUGCUUUAGUUAUUAUAGCUACUGGGAGAGUUCAUAUUGAAGACAGUGAGAAGGGUUGGAGAGCCAGUGGCAAGAGAAGCCCUCAUAGCAUUUCAUAUCAAGAAAUUGGGAAAUGUAUGUCAGCAACACAUCACUUCCAUUGUACAACCCGGAAAUUGCUCUCCAGCAUGCUGUAGUAUAAGGAAGAAUACCCAUGUGCACCUCCAGUGUUAUAAAAAAAAAAAAUACUGAUGUUUAAAGCAAAACCACCGUAUGAUUAAGUGGCACGCCAUAGUGAAUGGCUUGCAAUUACUUUUGACGAUUUAGUUUUUUUCUCAACAUUCAUUACAAUGCAGGCACCAUAUGGAUGUUUUUGCAUUUUGACUCCAUCAAAAUGCAGCCACUGUGGCUGCAAUUUAAUCCCGCAGUCUCAUGCUUAGCACCAGUUCUGCUUUAGCCAUUCAUGAUGGGUGUUAUAAAACGUAACCUGUAUUGUGAAAGAAAAUUCAGUUGGUAGUGGCACUUGGUUUGGAUAAACUUUAUUUUGUGUAUGUACGUGCACCCUUCUCGCUGUCUAUUUUUUACAUUUCUUCUUCAUACAGUGGUAAAGAAGAAGGCAAAUAACAGUAAAGAUAUUCACACAUCAUUCAACACACAGGCUUCUCAGCCACAAGCACCACCUGCACAAUGUGUUUGUGCACCGUACAUUACACAGAACAUUUCGAUUAACUGCAGUCUCAAGUGCCCAAUGUUAAACGUCUAACAUGUCAUUCAAGUGUGUACCGGGCACUGUUUUGUCAGGGACCCAAUAUAUUUUCUUCUUUGAAGAGAACAUUUAGUAACAUCUGGGUGCUUGCUGUGUGCACCUUUCUGGUAGUUCUAGGAUCGCGCUCAACAAAACUCUUGCGAUAUCCAUCCAAACUAGUAUAACAAAAGGUGUACAGUACUAUAUUACUGUCAUGAACAAAUAGAGACUACUUAUUAACUAUACUGGGUGUUAAAAAACAAUUUUAUGUGGAUAAUAAAUACAUAUUUUCUCAGAUAAGGGGAUUCAAGUAAUAUUAGUCUCAGUAAAUUACAGAUGUACAUCUUCAAAUUCUUAAUGAACAUGCCAACAAAAUUUAAUGCAAAUUUUUUUCUUUACUUUGGAAUCAUGCGAUUGCCAACGUGCACCUACCUCAUGCAGGAAGAAUAUUUGGCAGAAGCUUCGUAAGUAGCACCAGCUUAAAGAUAUUCCACAUGCAGUGACAUCCUGCUCUCUAUUCUCCCACCUAACUAUGUUUGGUCAGUGUGUGAAAAUUUUGCGUGCAACUUUUAAUUUCAAUGCACAUUUCUUGAAGCUGCUGCCAAUUGAGAUACCUACUAACGAAUACUUUGUUGACUAGCUAGCUUUGACUUUCAUUACUACAUGGCCUCUAAAAGUAAUAGGUAAAAAUCUAAUUAGCAAGCUGUUUGCAUGUUCAUAAGCAAUUUCAAGAUAUGCACCUGAUGUCCACCACAGCAAAUAAAGGAUUACUGGAAGAAAUGCACAGAUAUAUACAACUCUUUCUUUACAUCUACUUGACUGAAGCACAUGGUGUGUGUAAAAGCUACUGCAGUGUUGCACUAUACAUAUACUACCUGAUGUCCUGAGAGAGCCAGAUGGUUUGGCAUCCAUUCACAAGUUACAACACAGACGACAUAUCUGCAUUCCAGUGCAGUUUGCACUCCUUGAGAAGCUUUUGUUUCCACAAGAUAGAAAACUGCUAAGAGUGAAAUGUUUCUGGCUUGGUUACAAGUGAAAAAAGACCUAGGUGCCUUUAUAACGCCAAACAGCUCAAGCGCUGACAAGUAAAAGAAGCCUAUGGAUUGAAAUGUAUAAAUCUCUUGCCAUCACAAGAGGUGCAUGUUUCCUUGUGAAGUAAUUUAUUCCUUGUACCUUAGACUCUUCAAUGAAGCAUUGUUUAAGGGGGGUUACAUGACCAAUAACACAUAAUAAUACUACAUAACUUCCGUCACAAGCUUGAGGUGAAUUUUUUGCAAUAGUGCUGUAUUAUGGAUUAGUCCGAUUAGUCCAUAGUUUGUUUAUUUUGUGAUGUAUUGCAUUUUCUUCUUCACUUGCAGUCAAAUGCUCUUUUAGCACAUUUUUCGCAAACAUAUCUUGUGGUGUUGCAUUUUUUUGUUCACUUGCAUUGGAACCUUGUUUUGUAUUUUGCUUUGUUGCGUUACAUUUUGAUGUUACUA